CUGUAAUUGGAAUGAGUACACUUUAAAAGCUUUAACGAGUAUCCAUUGGAGGGCAAGUCUGGUGCCAGCAGCCGCGGUAAUUCCAGCUCCAAAAGUAUAUAUUUAAGUUGUUGCGGUUAAAAAGCUCGUAGUUGGAUUUUGGGCGCAGGCGGCCGGUCCGUCGCAAGGCGUGUACUGGACGUCCUGGCCUUCCCUCCGGUUCUCCGCCGGUGCUCUUGACUGAGUGUCGGCGGCGGCCGGAACGUUUACUUUGAAAAAAUUAGAGUGUUCAAAGCAGGCUCUCGAGCCUGGAUAAUGGUGCAUGGAAUAAUGGAAUAGGACCUCGGUUCUAUUUUGUUGGUUUUCGGAGCGCGAGGUAAUGAUUAAGAGGGACAGACGGGGGCAUUCGUACUGUGCCGUUAGAGGUGAAAUUCUUGGAUCGGCGCAAGACGAACGACUGCGAAAGCAUUUGCCAAGAAUGUUUUCUUUAAUCAAGAGCGAAAGUCAGAGGUUCGAAGACGAUCAGAUACCGUCCUAGUUCUGACUAUAAACGAUGCCAACUAGCGAUCGGGGGGCGUUACAUUGACGACCCCUCCGGCAGCUUACGGGAAACCAAAGUCUUUGGGUUCCGGGGGAAGUAUGGUUGCAAGGCUGAAACUUAAAGGAAUUGACGGAAGGGCACCACCAGGAGUGGAGCCUGCGGCUUAAUUUGACUCAACACGGGAAAUCUCACCCGGCCCGGACACAGUGAGGAUUGACAGAUUGAGAGCUGAAUC
rnacentral:ncRNA from 1 species